rnacentral:rRNA from 1 species
UUUUUUCUUAAGCGGAGUGGCGGACGGGUGAGUAACACGUGGGGAACCUAUCCAUCAGCGGGGGAUAACACUUGGAAACAGGUGCUAAUACCGCAUACGGCUUUUUUUCACCUGAAAGAAAGCUCAAAGGCGCUUUACAGCGUCACUGAUGGCUGGCCCCGCGGUGCAUUAGCCAGUUGGUGAGGUAACGGCUCACCAAAGCAACGAUGCAUAGCCGACCUGAGAGGGUGAUCGGCCACACUGGGACUGAGACACGGCCCAGACUCCUACGGGAGGCAGCAGUAGGGAAUCUUCGGCAAUGGACGCAAGUCUGACCGAGCAACGCCGCGUGAGUGAAGAAGGUUUUCGGAUCGUAAAGCUCUGUUGUCAGCAAAGAACAGGAGAAAGAGGCAAUGCUUUUUCUAUGACGGUAGCUGACCAGAAAGCCACGGCUAACUACGUGCCAGCAGCCGCGGUAAUACGUAGGUGGCAAGCGUUGUCCGGAUUUAUUGGGCGUAAAGCGAGCGCAGGCGGUGAUUUAAGUCUGAUGUGAAAGCCCCCAGCUCAACUGGGGAGGGUCAUUGGAAACUGGAUCACUUGAGUGCAGAAGAGGAGAGUGGAAUUCCAUGUGUAGCGGUGAAAUGCGUAGAUAUAUGGAGGAACACCAGUGGCGAAGGCGGCUCUCUGGUCUGUAACUGACGCUGAGGCUCGAAAGCG